UAUCUAUUGCCUUAGCAAUUUGUUCUUUGUUAUCUUCCGGAAUUAAUAUUUUCUUGUCCAAUUUCCACUCUGGCCUUUGUCUAAUAAAUUUAUCUUUCAGGUGCACCUUUACCAUGUUAUGAUCAGACCAGGUGGUAGACAGUAUAUUAGAAGAUUUUAUUCUGCCCAACAAAUUACGCUCUACUAAGAUUAAAUCAAUUCUUGAAUACGGAC